UACGGAGGGUGCAAGCGUUACCCGGAUUCACUGGGCUUAAAGGGUGCGUAGGCGGGUUGGUAAGUCCGUGGUGAAAUCCCCAAGCUUAACUUGGGAACUGCCGUGGAUACUAUCAAUCUUGAAUAUCGUGGAGGUAAGCGGAAUAUGUCAUGUAGCGGUGAAAUGCUUAGAUAUGACAUAGAACACCAAUUGCGUAGGCAGCUUACUACACGAUCAUUGACGCUGAGGCACGAAAGCGUGGGGAGCAAACAGG
rnacentral:rRNA from 1 species